GGGUACUGUACUAAACUAACUAAAGUGGGGGAUAGUGAGGGGAUAAAUUUUCUUAAGGAACUCGGCAAAAUCCCAAUGGCCCACCAGGGCAUAUUGGAACACGGGCCUCGACUGUUUACCAAAAACAUAGCCCUCGGCUAAUAUGAAAAUAGAUGUAUAGAGGGUGAUGCCUGCCCAAUGGUUGUAUCUAAAAGCGGUUGAUAAAAGUUGACCUCGUAAGGACAAUUGAAUGGCCGCGGUAACACUGACCGUGAUAAUGUAGCGUAAUCAAUAGCCAAUUAAUUGUUGGCCAGUAUGAAUGGCGCCACGAAGGCCCCACUGUCUUAAGGAAAUUCCCAGUGAAAUUGAAUUCGUAGUGAAGAUGCUACGUCCAAUUUGUUAGACGAAAAGACCCCGUUGAGCUUUACUGGAGCACUUACAUGGCCCCGGCCUUCCCAUGCCUGGGAACCGGCCGAAUUUAAAUGGGCGGCUUAGAUUAUGUGGCAGCCCCCCGCUGGGGCAAAUGAAACACCACUCCCCCAUGUCAAAGGGGCUAACCCCCCCCCCUUGGGGGGACAGUGUAAGUAGGACAGUUUGGUUGGGGCGACCACCUUUUAAAAAGUAACGAAGGUGCGCUUAAGGUGCGCAAUUAAUGACUGAAGCCUGACUGCGAGGGGGACACCCCGAGCAGACACCCCAAAGCCCGCCCGAAAGGCGCCGGUGGGGUGGGCCAUAGUGACCCGUUAAUUUAGAGUGGAAUAGUUAACGAUCAACGAAUAAAAGUUACCACGGGGAUAACAGCGUAAUAUCGUUAGAGAGUUCACAUCGACGACGAUGUUUGCGACCUCGAUGUUGAAUUGCGGCAUCCUGGG
rnacentral:rRNA from 1 species